CGCAAGUCAAUAAGAGUUGGGCUAAAAGUCAGUGUCUUGUGGGUUGACAGUAAAAAGGGAGGGUCUUCCAAAAACAAGCACCAGGAGGGUGAGAAGCAGGAGGAGGGUCAUAACAGACUUUCAAAGAACAAGGUUGUCGUGAAAAAGAAAAAUGUUUCUAAAUACGAGACAGGAGGAGGAGGAGGAGAAAGUGGAUGAUGAGGCGCGUCAUGACACAAAGAACAAGGUGGGAAGCCAACCAGAGGGGACGGGGAGCAGCUGGUUGCCCUGGACAAAAUAAAAAAG